GGCAGGGUGGUCUUGUGAAGAAAGCACUGCAGUGACACUCCAGAGAUCUGGGUUUAAUUCCUGGCUCUGCCA
rnacentral:tRNA from 1 species